rnacentral:lncRNA from 1 species
UGUUGUGUCUUGAUAAUUUUGUCUAUACAGGACAGUGGACAAUAUUAUAGGGGGUAGUCAGGUUUGUAAGAUGAUAGAACCAAAAAAACAGGUGGGACAUGAAGGAGCAACUGAAGAUCCAACGCCAUCUAUGACAUCCUUGCACCUGCCGGUCAUUACAUCCCCAGAAAACUCUACAAAAAAGCAGCCCGAACAGUAGGAUAUAGUAUCAUUUUUUUUUUUUUAAUUUAAUUUAAUUUCAUACUUUAUUUAAGUCAGUUAAUAUUUAAAACAUACAAUACAGAGAAGGAAAAAUCUCAAACAUGUGAAUAAAAAGGGGCAUAAAGAACAAAAAUCUUAUGGAGUCCGCCCCUCUUUCAUAAGAUAUUAAUCAACUAAACACAUAAUAAAAAAUAAACAAGAGCUGCAGGCCAACAUGCCUUUUUACAGUUUAUUAUUUCUUAAUUUUGAAAACAACCCACAAAACAAACAUACAAAGACUUAGAUUAACAUAUUUCCCUGUAUUUACUCAACAUACUGGCUUUGACAAUUUUUUGAAUGUAAAAUUUGAUUUAGCUGCUUUAGCUUUUAAGUUCAGAUUGUUCCACAAACUUAUUCCUCUCACUGUAACACAGCGUUCCUUCAGUUUAGUUCUGAAUCUUGGUUUUUUAAAUAUAUUCUAAAUCCUUUUAAAUUUUAACAAUUUUCUCUUUUUUCAAAUCGACUCUGUAUACAAAUUCUUAUUACAAAAACUAAGCAUGUGGAUAAAUGUUCUAAUAUUGUCAAUGAUAUGGUGCCUAAAAGUGAAUCUGCCUUCUCUUUACAAUAUAAAAACACUUCACAGCAGAUUUUCGUUAUUUAUAGAUAGAUAUACUUUAUUGAUCCCAAACUGGGAAAUUCACAAAUUUUCAAAUGAGUUCAAUUUUGGAUUCAAAAUCAAGCUAGGACUUAUUUCAUUUUUAUUUUAUUCUAAUCACAAAAAGUUUUGUGUCUGAAUAGAAUCUGCAUAAUUUGUUUGAUGUAAAAUAAAUGAUUGUCACUGCAUAACAAAUAAUGUUGCACUACAACCUGUUGUGAAAAGUCAUUAUUUAGCUACUUAUCAAAAAAGUAGAUGUGCCUUAGUGGUCUUUUGAAGAAUUGUCAAGAAUGGGGCUUGUUGGGAAAUAUUUGUUUAAAUAAUAUUGGAAGUUGAGCUAAUUUUGGAUCAUUAAACCAGCAAAAAUGUACACAAUAAAGAUUCAAAUUGAUAUCCAAAAGAAAAGGAAAAAAACAGUCAUCAAAUAUUCAUUUUCGUUUAAUGCAGUUUUAGAUAUAACAGUGCAGUCUAUCCACCUCUUUUUGUCAGAGUGGAAAAUAAAAUAAUGGCCAGUUAGAUGCAGAAAUAUAUAUAUUUAUUUCUUGAUUGCAAUCGAAUCUUAAAAAUGUCUUAUGCUCGAAAAUGAAUGAAUGAAUAAUGUGUUAACAGGGCAUUACAUGGUGGAAGCAGUAUAAAUAAAAGAAAAUCAAUAAACACAGUUAACAUUCAAUUUGCAUCAUAUCUUUAAUGUUUGAACAUGCAUCUGUCUCUGUUGCUCUCUAUCCUUUCAUUCCUGAACAUAUAACCCCGGGUUUUCACAUUUGAAUGACAUGAUGUUUAUCUUCUUUCACAAACAGAAAGAGGACCUGCACGUGUGUCAACACUAAAAUCCCCACAGGCUAAAAACAUCGCUAAGGUUAGCCGAAAAAUAAACAGGAAAAAAAUUGUUUCUCAUAAGAAAACCUUACAUUAUUUUUCAUCAGAGAUUAUUUUCAAACCUAUUUACCAUCAAAACCCACCUUAAGCGGCAGGUGUUAUGGUUAUUAGUGACUAAUGUGAACUAGCAGGCCUCGGUCACGUGAUCUCCGGGCCUGGGUGCUAAUGCUGCUAAUGACAGUUGCAACUUCUUCCAACCGACAAACGCCGUUACUUUUGUAGUUAAUUAAAUUGAUAAAAGACCCAGAUGUCGUGUCUUGAAGCUGGAGGCAGCUCAGACCCCCGUGUGCAGUGAGUAAACGCCGAGGUCUGAGUAGUAUCGUGUCCGCUGUGUGCGCUGCUGACUCGGUGUGU